rnacentral:lncRNA from 7 species
GUAGAAACUGAUUUGUAGAGAUAGCCUAUACAUAGUACUGUCUUCAUUUUGUUUUAAAAAAAAUAUUCUAUACAAAUUUAUUAAAAUAAAUAGUAAAAAUGUUUCAUUCAAGUGCUAGCUAGGGAGUACAAGACUACACGGCCACAUAUUUGCAAGAAAAAUGGUCUUGAAACAGAAAAAAGGUAUGAAACGACUUGACUACAAUGUGGAAGCAGAACAUAUGGACAGGAUAGGCAAAGAAGCGCAAUCAUUGGCUCUAAACUAAUGUGAUCAUAUAUUUUAUAGUUACAAUCCUGUGGAACGGAACUUAUAUCCCGAGCACUUUCACUAUCAGUAUGCCUGUCUUAAAUUAAUUACGUAGCAGUUGUCCACGGAGUACACCAUUAAUUAACCGGCACAAAUUGGACUAGUCGAUCUGCAGAAAUUAACCGACCUAGCCGAAGUUCUCGAUCGAGUUUUGCCCAAAAAAGUUGUCCACAAUCCCACGGCUCCACCUCUACCCACGCCAAAUAAAUUCAAGAGAUAAACACAGCAAGUUGAGUUUGAAAAACGUUGGGCAAACGACCAGAGAUACGAAUAUACUCAUACGAUG